rnacentral:rRNA from 1 species
GGCUCAGAACGAACGCUGGCGGCGUGGUUGAUACAUGCAAGUCGGACGGGAACGUUCCCUUCGGGGAACUAGUACAGUGGCGGACGGGUGAGUAACGCGUGAUCAAUCUACCCUCAGGAGGGGGAUAGCCACUCGNAAAGAGUGGGUAAUACCCNCAUAAGACCACAGUCUCUCAUGAGACAGAGGUAAAACAGUUGGGAUCUUCGGACCUUCUGCCUGAGGAUGAGAUCGCGUCCUAUUAGCUUGUUGGUAGGGUAAUGGCCUACCAAGGCUUUGAUGGGUAGCCGGCCUGAGAGGGUGGACGGCCACACUGGAACUGAGACACGGUCCAGACUCCUACGGGAGGCAGCAGUGCUGAAUUAUUCGCCAAUGCGCGAAAGCGUGACGGUGCGACGCCGCGUGCGGGACGAAGGCUUUCGAGUACGUAAACCGCGGUCAGGGUCUAGGAAACCGCAGUCGUUAAUAGCGGCUUGGUGCUUGGACCCAGGCCCAAAGGAAGCACAGGCUAAUCUCGUGCCAGCAGCCCCGCGGUAAUACGAAGAUGGUUGCAAGCGUUGUUCCGGAAUCACUGGGGGCAUAAAGGGUGCGCAGNGGNCGGCUUAGUAAGUCAGGGGUGAAAUCCCUCGGCUCAACCGGGGAAUUGCUUUUGAUACUGCUAAGCUUGAGAGCGAAAGGGGCAAGUGGAAUUCCAGGUGUAGCGGUGGAAUGCGUAGAUAUCUGGGAGAACGCCGAUGGCGAAGGCAGCUUGCUGGGUCGCUUCUGACGCUCAGGCACGAAAGCUAGGGGAGCAAACAGGAUUAGAUACCCUGGUAGUCCUAGCUGUAAACGUUGGGUACUAGGUUCCGGGAUUUCUGAUGAUUUCGGGGCCGCAGUUAAUGCAUUAAGUACCCCGCCUGGGGAGUAUGGUCGCAAGGCUAAAACUCAAAGGAAUUGACGGGGGCUCACACAAGCGGUGGAGCAUGUUGUUCAAUUCGAAGCAACGCGAAGAACCUUACCUGGCCUUGACAUGCUAGAAGUACGAACCUGAAAGGGGGAGGACCGGUAUCCAGUCCGGAACUAGCACAGGUGCUGCAUGGCUGUCGUCAGCUCGUGUCGUGAGACGUUGGGUUAAGUCCCGUAACGAGCGAAACCCUUGUCGUCUGUUGCUACCAGGUGAUGCUGGGCACUCUGGCGAGACUGCCGGUGUUAAACCGGAGGAAGGUGGGGACGACGUCAAGUCAUCAUGGUCCUUACGGCCAGGGCUACAAACGUGCUACAAUGGCAGGUACAGAGAGAAGCGAUACCGCGAGGUGGAGCAAAUCUUCAAAACCUGCCCCAGUUCGGAUUGGAGGCUGCAAUUCGCCUCCAUGAAGUUGGAAUCGCUAGUAAUCGCGGAUCAGCAACGCCGCGGUGAUACGUUCCUGAGCCUUGUACACACCGCCCGUCAAGCCACCCAAGCUGGAAGCACCCGAAGUC